GCUUGCUUCUUUGCUGACGAGUGGCGGACGGGUGAGUAAUGUCUGGGAAACUGCCUGAUGGAGGGGGAUAACUACUGGAAACGGUAGCUAAUACCGCAUAACGUCGCAAGACCAAAGAGGGGGACCUUCGGGCCUCUUGCCAUCGGAUGUGCCCAGAUGGGAUUAGCUUGUUGGUGGGGUAACGGCUCACCUAGGCGACGAUCCCUAGCUGGUCUGAGAGGAUGACCAGCCACACUGGAACUGAGACACGGUCCAGACUCCUACGGGAGGCAGCAGUGGGGAAUAUUGCACAAUGGGCGCAAGCCUGAUGCAGCCAUGCCGCGUGUAUGAAGAAGGCCUUCGGGUUGUAAAGUACUUUCAGCGGGGAGGAAGGGAGUAAAGUUAAUACCUUUGCUCAUUGACGUUACCCGCAGAAGAAGCACCGGCUAACUCCGUGCCAGCAGCCGCGGUAAUACGGAGGGUGCAAGCGUUAAUCGGAAUUACUGGGCGUAAAGCGCACGCAGGCGGUUUGUUAAGUCAGAUGUGAAAUCCCCGGGCUCAACCUGGGAACUGCAUCUGAUACUGGCAAGCUUGAGUCUCGUAGAGGGGGGUAGAAUUCCAGGUGUAGCGGUGAAAUGCGUAGAGAUCUGGAGGAAUACCGGUGGGCGAAGGCGGCCCCCUGGACGAAGACUGACGCUCAGGUGCGAAAGCGUGGAGAGCA
rnacentral:rRNA from 1 species